GCCAGCUGCUCCUGUCCUCUGCAUGCACCAUCAGGGCGCGACCUUUCUACCCCGGGGCUGAAAGCCAAAGGACUCCCUGCGGGGAAACAUCUGGCGUGACCACUCUGGACUGCUGACAUCCUGAGCUACAAAUGAAAUUGAUGUGACACAAGGGUGGAGGCACCCUUAAGGACAGAGGCUUCCUAGGAUGAAGCGAUACCAGAGAGCAGAAACAGCCAUGUGGAGCUCCUGGUGCCAGAUGUUGAACUCCUGGAUCCAGCCCCGCCUGCAGACAGCUUCUUGAGGGUCCUGACUGAUUGGGUGAAAGACAGCUGGGAGACCAUUUGCCUGAAGUCACGGCCUGCCCUCGAUUUGUAUGUCUCUUGGUCCCAGGGACAUCUGAGAAGUGCUCCCAGAGCACACAAGCAUGCCAGCACAUGGAGUCCUAGAGGAGCACAGGCAGGAACUUCUCUGGGGACAGGUACAUUCAGGUUUCCUGCCGGGACCCCACCUCCAGACCCAGCCCGUGAGUCUAGGCUCAGAGGCUCCGAACACCUGGCUACCAUCUGCUGAAAACCGUUCACCAACUUCAGUCCCCUCUUAGAAUCAACAGCAGUUCCUUGCCAUGCUUGCAGAACCCUACACGACCUGCCAUGGGCUCUCCACAGCAGCCAGGAGCCCAGGAGGGAGCAGAUGGCACUUCUGGAUGCGGGUCAUUGGAGGAGAGCUGACUGACAAAGAGAGUAAAUCCCAAGUGCAUCAGUGGACCGUAGGGGAGCCAACCUGUAGUGCAGGAACCUGGGCCAGAAGCUCAAGACUGACCGUCACCAGGCCCAAAGGGUCAGCCGGUGAGGGCAGUUAUGGGAACCCAAAGGAGAGAGAAUUGCACAGAGCUGGUGCCUGAAAAGUAGCAGUCAGCCCAAGAGACCUCCUGGAGGGGGAUCCAGGAAUAAACGCCCUGGUCUUCGUCUCCACUCUCCCUGUGAUCCUUUGCUGGGCUUCCCCAGCCCAAAGCCAGGGCCCAGGAGCUGGAAAAUGCCAGACAGAGGAGGGAAGGUGGGAGGUGGAGCGCCAUCUGCAGGAGCAAACAGAACUCCAAACUCCAUCUCAGAAUGUUCUGGAGGGCUCAGCUGACUCACCUGUUCCCUUGGCCUGCGAAGCUUUGCAUCUGCUAGGUCUCAUCUCAAAUGCCAGCUCCUCAGUGAAAUUGUCCUGACUGACCAUCCUCAAAAAAGGAUGCACCCCUGCCCUCCACCCUUGUUAUUUCCUUCCCAGCAGCUACAACAGUCUUGAAACAAUCUUGUUGCUUUAAUUUUUUGUCUGUUUAUUGACUCUUGCACUAGAAUGUCAGCUGCGUCCCCAGUACCUAGAACAGGGUCUUGUACAUAGCAGGUACUCAAUAAAUAUUUG